rnacentral:rRNA from 1 species
UACUAAGGGGGCUAGCGUUGUUCGGAUUUACUGGGCGUAAAGCGCACGUAGGCGGAUCGUUAAGUCGGGGGUGAAAUCCUGGAGCUCAACUCCAGAACUGCCUUCGAUACUGGCGAUCUCGAGUCCGGAAGAGGUGAGUGGAACUCCUAGUGUAGAGGUGGAAUUCGUAGAUAUUAGGAAGAACACCAGUGGCGAAGGCGGCUCACUGGUCCGGUACUGACGCUGAGGUGCGAAAGCGUGGGGAGCAAACAGG